UAAAUGACAUAGCCGAAGCUAUAAGAAAUAUUAAUACGACUUCAGAUUUGUCUGAUAAUGACUUGAUGCAAGCUAUAAGAAAUGUCAAUGCGACUUCAGAUAAUAUUGAUGGAUUUUAUCGAGUUUUU